GGGUAGCUAUGUACGGAAUGGAUAAGCGCUGAAAGCAUCUAAGCGCGAAGCCAACUUCAAGAUAAGAUUUCCCACCGCAAGGGUAAGACCCCAGAAAGACUAUCUGGUUGAUAGGUCGAAGGUGUAAGUGCAGCAAUGUAUUUAGCUUAUCGAUACUAAUAGGUCGAGGACUUGACCAA
rnacentral:rRNA from 1 species